UACGUAGGGGGCUAGCGUUGUCCGGAAUUAUUGGGCGUAAAGAGCGUGUAGGCGGCCCGGUAAGUCCGCUGUGAAAGUCCAGGGCUCAACCCUGGGAUGCCGGUGGAUACUGUCGGGCUCGAGUCCGGAAGAGGAGUGUGGAAUUCCUGGUGUAGCGGUGAAAUGCGCAGAUAUCAGGAGGAACACCAAUUGCGAAGGCAGCUCGCUGGGACGUUACUGACGCUGAGACGCGAAAGCGUGGGGAGCAAACAGG
rnacentral:rRNA from 1 species